rnacentral:rRNA from 1 species
AUUGAACGCUGGCGGCAGGCCUAACACAUGCAAGUCGAACGAGUGGCGGACGGGUGAGUAAUGUCUGGGAAACUGCCUGAUGGAGGGGGAUAACUACUGGAAACGGUAGCUAAUACCGCAUACCAUCAGAUGUGCCCAGAUGGGAUUAGCUUGUUGGGGGGGUAACGGCUCACCAAGGCGACGAUCCCUAGCUGGUCUGAGAGGAUGACAAGCCACACUGGAACGGAGACACGGUCCAGAGCCCUACGGGGGGCAGCAGUGGGGAAUAUUGAACAAGGGGCGCAAGCCUGAGGAAGCAAGGCCGGGUGUAUGAAGAAGGCCUUCGGGUUGUAAAGUACUUUAAGCGGGGAGGCGUUACCCGCAGAAGAAGCACCGGCUAACUCCGUGCCAGCAGCCGCGGUAAUU